CUGAGCCCCGGCGCUGUGGGGGGUAGUAGUGGAGAGUCGGGAGAGUAGGGGAGAGCCUCUUCCUGCGCUGGUGGUCCUCAGAGAGGAGGACCCCCGCCUCACAUGUGUGGCCAAUGAGAAUUGUCUCUAGAAUGCAGCAAACCAUGAGCUUGGCAGUUUGAAGUGCACUAAAGCAAUGAGGAGCAAGGGUAAAGGACAUAGCUUCUCAUUGUUCUACUGCUUGGAGCAGCUUUUCAGUCAGUAACCUGACCAAGACAAUUGAUGUGAGCUCAAGAACAAAGCUCCCUUCAUGGUCACAAGAUGACUGCAGCAAUUCCAGCUAUCACAAACUCACACCAACGCCCAGAGGAAUGUCUGGCAUGUUGACAAACUACAUCCGUUGAUGCUUAAAUCAUUGCGAUUUCUUCAAAACAAACAUCCUGCAUGCACACCGAUAAACCCUAAGAAGAAGUAUCAAUACAAAUACUUAUUAUUUGUGUUUAAAAUUAACUGGGCUAUUUUUUUUGCCCAGAAAAAAAGAAAAGUCUACAAUUCAUUCAUAGUAAGAGAGAUCCUGAUUUAGGUUAGAGAGGUUUUGAUUUUAUUUAGGCUAAUUAUUGUGAAUUCUGCCUACUUUAUUUUUGGGUUCUCAAGACCGAGAAAAGUGUCUUGUAAAAAAGGACAAUCGUCCUGUAACAAUUCAGAUGAAAUAAUACUUAAAAGCAUUGUAUACUGGGAGUUCAGAAGUUGUAUCUUAGACUUCAUUAAAGACUUUCAAAGAAAAAAGAAGAGUGGAAGGAGAAGUAUCGUUUGUGAUUUGACUCU